UGGGGAAUAUUGCACAAUGGGCGCAAGCCUGAUGCAGCAACGCCGCGUGAGGGGACGACGGCCUUCGGGUUGUAAACCUCUUUUAGUAGGGAAGAAGCGAAAGUGACGGUACCUGCAGAAAAAGCACCGGCUAACUACGUGCCAGCAGCCGCGGUAAUACGUAGGGUGCAAGCGUUGUCCGGAAUUAUUGGGCGUAAAGAGCUCGUAGGCGGUUUGUCGCGUCUGCUGUGAAAACCCGAGGCUCAACCUCGGGCCUGCAGUGGGUACGGGCAGACUAGAGUGCGGUAGGGGAGAAUGGAAUUCCUGGUGUAGCGGUGGAAUGCGCAGAUAUCAGGAGGAACACCGAUGGCGAAGGCAGUUCUCUGGGCCCGUAACUGACGCUGAGGAGCGAAAGCGUGGGGAGCGAACAGGAUUAGAUACCCU
rnacentral:rRNA from 1 species